CCAUUUGUUGCCAUAAGGCGCAAAUGCAAGUGUUGCGCAUGCUCACUGAAGUCUGAGUUCAAAAAACAACAUCUGAAGGCGCAAUGGCGAUCUACUGUCUGACUCAGCGAAAAGGAGGAUUUGGAUGAAUAGAUGUGGAUGUUUUACAAGAAACCUCAUCAGUGGGACAAUAACUCAAUUAUGAUAUGUGAGUUUUGUGGAAACGUAAAGUGUGUGGAAGAAGCAUCACAGAACUAUCCAGUAUGUUUAAGUAAUUGAAACAUUCUAAGAUUAAAUUUGGACAUUUUGAGGAGAGAUUCAGUCAACCUGUUCACAGUAAAUUAAAUAAAAGCGGAAUUAAUGCGGAUAACGACUGUGCCACUUCUGUCAAUGUUCAUAGCAGCUGGACAGAUACACUGACAAAAGAUAUCACACACAUUGCAGUUGCAGACAAGUGCGAAGAUAUACACUUCAAAUGAGACUGUGUCAUAAAGAGUCUGUGUGUGUAUCUCAAUGGGGACAUUACAACACUUCCAGUUCUCCAGAAUUCUUCCAGAAUUCCAGGACUGCAAUCCUGAAGGAACUGAGGGAGGAAUUUUGAGACCACUCUGGGCCCUUUUGUGACCCUUAAAGAAAGCGCUGAGGAUGAGCCAGUGGAUGUUGGCGUAGCAACAGAGGGUUUAAAACUACUACAACACUUAGGAGUUUUUCCUUUGGAUGCUGUUUGCUGUUUGGAUUGAUCUACACAAUCAAGCUAUGCUCCGAGUCUCAAAUUCACUUUUGAAUUCUUCCAGAAGGUACUGAUGAAUUUAGAUUUUAGGACAUCACACAGAUGUUUCGAUCCACUGGAAGGACUUAGAAACUUUGAAACCUAAGAAACAUUGAAUUGAAGACUAUGAUCAAUGACACUAUGAACCAAUGACACUAACUCAAAUCAAGAGACUACAUCUAAUGCACCUUAUGGCUUCCUCAAACUCUGAUAUUUUUAAAGGGUUAGUUCACCUAAAAAUGAAAUUUCUGUCAUUAAUUACUCACCCUCAUGUCGUUCCACACCUGUAAGACCUUUGUUCAUCUUUGGAACACAAAUUAGGUUAUUUUUGAUUAAAUCCGUGAGCUAUCUGACCUCAGAUAGACUGCAACACAACUACCACUUUCAAGGCCCAGAAAGGUAGUAAAGACAUUGUUAAAAUAGUCAAUGUGACUGCAGUGGUUCAACCUUAAUGUUAUGAAGUGACAAGAAUACUAUUUGAGCGCAAAAAACAAAACAAAAAAACGACUUUCUUCCCUUUUAUGUCAUGCUCCUACGCAGCUGAGGUUGUACACAAAUAAUAUCUUAAUUUGUGUUCUGAAGAUUAAUGAACGUCUUAGGGGUUUGGAGCAAAAUUAGGGUGAGUAAUUAAUGAAAGAAAUUAAAUUUUUGGGUGAACUAACCCUUUAACAGAGAUGUUAGCCCUUGUGCUAUUCCUUGUCCAGGAAGUUAACUUGUGAGUAGGACACUUGGGCUGCUGAAUGUCUAAAUGCUGAAAUGUGACAGAUAACAGAAAACCUGUUAUAUGUAAAGUCAAAUAUAAUCCCUCAAAUUGCUUUUCUUUUUUCCCCAAGUGUCCCAAGCAAAAGCACAAACUGACUACCAUACUAUGCAGAGAGAUCCCAAUGUUACCUUGAAUAUAUGAAAAUAAUGCUUGAUGUUGAAAUUUGGUUCCUUGUUGAUCUAUGAACUUUUUGGCACACAGACUUAAACUAAAAAGUCAAACAAGGAGCCAUAACCAUUGUGUUAGUUUCGGAGAAAGCACAAAACUGCUGUAAACAGUUGUCUUAACUUGUGAAAUACUGCAUUAUGUUCUAUUUUUUGUCAGAUUGGAUGUUUCUUAUUAUUCCUGCAGCAAUUGAGACAAUAAAUUUUUAUGAAUGUAACAUGUGUUUGACCAUUUAUUUAAUAUAAAUAAAUUAAUUUAAGGUAGUUAUAUAAAGCAAGUAAGAAUAAGUUAUAUUAAAAGAAUAAGUUUUAUGUAUUACACAAGCUUAAAUUGCAGUUUAUUAGUUAACAUAACCUUUAUUUAAUUAAUUCAAGUCAACCGAACAUGAUGGGGAAGCUUAAGUAAAAGUUAACUUUUUUACAUUGGAUUUAUGUGAUUAAAAUGGAUGGAAAUUUUAUAUGCAAUUGAAUUACAUAAGUUUUAAUUUUUGGGGUUAAAUAUUUUUUUGAGUGUGAAAAUUAAAGAGAAAAUGAGAGUGGAUGCACAUGAACUAAUACAGCUGUGUUUGCUCAAAAUCUGGCUUUCUUAGACCAGAUCGUCUAGGAUGAAUCCAGCUAAUUAUUCGUUUUAAUUAAACACGUGCCUUCCUUAU